GAUGAACGCUGGCGGCGUGCUUAACACAUGCAAGUCGAGCGAAGCACUCCACCGGAAUUCUUCGGAAGGAAGGUGGUUUGACUGAGCGGCGGACGGGUGAGUAACGCGUGGGUAACCUGCCUUACACAGGGGGAUAACAGUUAGAAAUGACUGCUAAUACCGCAUAACCCGCUAGGGCCGCAUGGCCCGGACGGAAAAGAUUUAUCGGUGUAAGAUGGACCCGCGUCUGAUUAGCUGGUUGGUGGGGUAACGGCCCACCAAGGCGACGAUCAGUAGCCGACCUGAGAGGGUGAUCGGCCACAUUGGGACUGAGACACGGCCCAA
rnacentral:rRNA from 1 species